rnacentral:rRNA from 1 species
GUGCCAGCCGCCGCGGUAAUACCGGCAGCACGAGUGAUGGCCGCUGUUAUUGGGCCUAAAGCGUCCGUAGCCGGCCACUCAAGUCCGUCGGGAAAUCUGCCCGCUUAACGGGCAGGCGUCCGGCGGAAACUGAGUGGCUUGGGGCCGGGAGAUCCAAGGGGUGCGUCCGGGGUAGGAGUGAAAUCCCGUAAUCCUGGACGGACCACCGAUGGCGAAAGCACCUUGGAAACACGGACCCGACGGUGAGGGACGAAAGCUAGGGUCUCGAACCGGAUUAGAUACCCCAGUAGUCC